rnacentral:rRNA from 1 species
GGGGAAUAUUGCACAAUGGGCGAAAGCCUGAUGCAGCGACGCCGCGUGAGGGACGACGGCCUUCGGGUUGUAAACCUCUUUCAGCAGGGACGAAGCGCAAGUGACGGUACCUGCAGAAGAAGCACCGGCUAACUACGUGCCAGCAGCCGCGGUAAUACGUAGGGUGCAAGCGUUGUCCGGAAUUACUGGGCGUAAAGAGUUCGUAGGCGGUUUGUCACGUCGUUUGUGAAAACUCACAGCUCAACUGUGAGCCUGCAGGCGAUACGGGCAGACUUGAGUACUGCAGGGGAGACUGGAAUUCCUGGUGUAGCGGUGAAAUGCGCAGAUAUCAGGAGGAACACCGGUGGCGAAGGCGGGUCUCUGGGCAGUAACUGACGCUGAGGAACGAAAGCGUGGGUAGCGAAC